GACGAACGCUGGCGGCGUGCUUAACACAUGCAAGUCGAGCGGUAAGGCUCCUUCGGGAGUACACGAGCGGCGAACGGGUGAGUAACACGUGAGCAAUCUGCCCUUCUCAUCGGAAUAAGCGUGGGAAACCGCGUCUAAUGCCGAAUACGACCUCCUUUCGCAUGAUCGGAGGUGGAAAGCUCCGGCGGAGAAGGAUGAGCUCGCGGCCUAACAGCUAGUUGGUGAGGUAACGGCCCACCAAGGCGACGACGGGUAGCCGGCCUGAGAGGGUGGCCGGCCACACUGGGACUGAGACACGGCCCAGACUCCUACGGGAGGCAGCAGUGGGGAAUAUUGGACAAUGGGCGAAAGCCUGAUCCAGCAACGCCGCGUGAGGGAUGACGGCCUUCGGGUUGUAACCUCUUUCAGCAGGGACGAAGCGAAAGUGACGGCACCUGCAGAAGAAGGACCGGCCAACUACGUGCCAGCCGCCGCAGUAACAC
rnacentral:rRNA from 1 species